GUGAAUCAUCGAAUCUUUGAACGCAAAUUGCACUCUCUGGCAUCCCGGUGAGUAUGCCUGUUUGAGGGUCAGUUUAAUUUAAAUCGGCGUGUCGCUUUCGCGUUGCACCGGUGGUUUUGUCUUCUUAGCUUUAGGUUAAGAGUCGUAUAAUUAUUAACUUUUUUGCGCGCUUUUAGACGUACAUAAUUUUUUUUAUUCGUCUAUUCCUGUGCCAAAAUUUACUCGUUACGAUUAUCUUGUGCCUA
rnacentral:misc_RNA from 1 species